rnacentral:tRNA from 1 species
AGGCCCGUGAUGAAAUGGUAUCAUGAGGGUCUCCAAAACCCUUCUUCCAGGUUCGAAUCCUGGCGGGCCUG